rnacentral:sRNA from 1 species
GCCAGGCUCGGUGGCGCACGCCUGUAAUCCUAGCUAUUUAGGAGGCUGAGGCAGGAGGAUCGCUGAUUCGAGGUCAGCCUCAGCAAUUUACCGACACCUUGUCCCAA